ACGGCGAACGGGUGAGUAACACGUGGGUGAUCUGCCUCGUACUUCGGGAUAAGCCUGGGAAACUGGGUCUAAUACCGGAUAUGACCUUCGGAUGCAUGUCUGAGGGUGGAAAGAUUUAUCGGUACGAGAUGGGCCCGCGGCCUAUCAGCUUGUUGGUGGGGUAAUGGCCUACCAAGGCGACGACGGGUAGCCGGCCUGAGAGGGCGACCGGCCACACUGGGACUGAGACACGGCCCAGACUCCUACGGGAGGCCAGUGGGGAAUAUUGCACAAUGGGCGAAAGCCUGAUGCAGCGACGCCGCGUGAGGGAUGACGGCCUUCGGGUUGUAAACCUCUUUCGACAGGGACGAAGCGCAAGUGACGGUACCUGUAGAAGAAGCACCGGCCAACUACGU
rnacentral:rRNA from 1 species